UAAGGUGUUUCUGUGUUGGAAUGUGUUUCUCUCCGCCGCUACUUUCUUCUUUUUAACCUUUUUGGUGAUCGAUCCUUGGUGGUGCGAGACUGGUGACCUGCUAAAUCCACUACAUCGCCUGGGGGAGUGGUUGUGGUGGUGGUGGUGAUGGUGUGGCUGAGCUAGAUGGCUACUACGAGAAUGACAUCCUGUUCAUGAUGUUCAGGUAUCAAGCACUACUGUCAUCGUUUCCUGUGUUUGUAUGCAAGGACAAAGCGUCACUAAUGAUCUCCUUGCUAAGCUGCUUUGUCUUGGAGGAAUGGAAGGGAAGG
rnacentral:lncRNA from 1 species